GCAGACACAUUCCAGCCAAUCAGCAGCAGACCCUCCCUCCCAGACCCUCCCACCUCCUGGAUAGCUUCCAUUUUACAUCCAUUGUGAAACUGCAUUCUUAGUGAGCUGUCCAGGAAGUGGGAGGGUCUGGGAGGGAGGGUCUGCUGCUGAUUGGCUGGAAUGUGUCUG